CUGCAGCCAAGUAAGCCGACCGUGUUCCUUUCCUCAUGGGGACCCAGUGUGCAAUGGCUGCAAACAGCAGCUUCCUUGGUAGCGUAGGCAGCCUGUUUCUUGUAUAGGUUGCUUGCUCUAAGGGACCUUGGCGACAGCC
rnacentral:snoRNA from 1 species